AUUGAACGCUGGCGGCAGGCCUAACACAUGCAAGUCGAGCGGAAGCAGGGAGCAUGCUGCUGGUUCCAGCGGCGGACGGGGGCGUGAGGCCUAGGAAUGUGCCUGGUAGUGGGGGAUAGCGUCAGGAAACGGGCGCGAAUACCGCAAACGCCCUGAGGAGGAAAGUGGGGGAGGGUGAGACGUCAGGCUAUCAGAUGAGCCUAGGUCGGAUUAGCUAGUUGGUGGGGGAAGGGCCUACCAAGGCGACGAUCCGGAACUGGUCUGAGAGGAUGAUCAGUCACACUGGAACUGAGACACGGUCCAGACUCCUACGGGAGGCAGCAGUGGGGAAUAUUGGACAAUGGGCGAAAGCCUGAUCCAGCCAUGCCGCGUGUGUGAAGAAGGUCUUCGGAUUGUAAAGCACUUUCAGUUGGGAGGAAGGGCAGUAAGUUAAUACCUUGGUUUUUUGACGUUACCCACAGAAUAAGCACCGGCUAACUCCGUG
rnacentral:rRNA from 1 species